UUUAUAGAUGUUAUAAAUAAUAAAAGGUAAAAUUUAAUUGUUAUUUUAUAUUACAUUAGUGAUUGUAAUUGAAGCUAAAAAAUCUAAUUAUAAACUAGGAUUAGAUACCCUAUUAUUUUAGGAAAAAAUAUAAAGCUAGAUUAGUAUUAGUUAAAUACUUAAAAAUUAAAAGAUUUGGCGGUGAUUUAAUCUUUUCAGAGGAAUUUGUUUUUUAAUCGAUAAACCACGAAGAAUCUUACUUGUUUUUGUUAAAUAAUCAGUUUGUAUACCAUCAUUAUCAGAUAAUUCUAAAAAGAAAAAUUAUCAAAUUUAAAUAUUUAUUAAAAUUAGAUCAUGGUGCAGCUUAUAAACAAGGUAAAAUGAAUUACAAUAAAUUGUUUUAUAAUGAAUUAAUAAGAUAAUUCUUAUUAUGAAGGAGGAUUUGAUGGUAUUAUAAAUUUAAUAAGUUUAUAGGAUAAAGGCUCUAAAUCAUGUACAUAUCGCCCGUCGCUUUCAUUUAUAAAUGAGAUAAGUC
rnacentral:rRNA from 1 species